AAAGGGAGACCUAAUUCAGGUAGGAGACGAAAAAAAGUAGUCCCUACCAAGAAUCAAUCCCAAAAGGUCGGAGCGAGGCAAAAUCGGCUUUCAAACUAGGUUCUGGGUUCACAUAAGACCUGAAUCAGGAACAAGGGCUAUUAGCUCAGGUGGUUAGAGCGCACCCCUGAUAAGGGUGAGGUCCCUGGUUCGAGUCCAGGAUGGCCCACCUGCACAGGUGGCAAAAACAAAGAAAAGAAGCUCCGAAUCAGCACCUUAUCUUACUCAUAUAGUACGAGAGAAUGCUGGCUCUGAGUUCAGAGUCCAGAGGAACCUUGAAAACUGCAUAGAGCUAGGUGAAAAAGCCAAAAAAGAAGACCGCAAG
rnacentral:tRNA from 1 species